CCCUGCGGGCGUAGAGUGUUUGAGAAAGGCUAGUCAGGGAGUCAGUAGCGUUAACCCCCUUCUCUCCGCCCUCUCCUACAUAUGCGAGACUGUGAAAGUGGGGAGAACCUUAUCUCAAACCCGAGAGAUACAGGUUUCCGAGCGUGCCGAGCCGCAGGGGGCGCGGGGGAGCCCGGGGGGCGCCGACGGCUGGGCAAAGUUGGGCGUGUGCUUGUACGCGCCAGCCGUGAGCUAGCAGGCAGCCACUCUGGUUCCCCUCGCACUCCCCCUCCGGAGAAUUCCCCGAGAAGGCGGGCGCCGGCUUUGGGCCCGGGAUAGACCUGCGGCGGCGGCGGGAACGGCCACGCACAGGGCAUGCUGCUUGGUUCCAUUCCUCAGCCUCCCUCGCAGCUGAAUGUGCACUUGUGACCAGUAGAAUGAGAGUGGAUGCUAUGUCUCAUUUCCUCCUGCAGGCAGCCCCACCAUGCUCUCUUUCCUUGUCAACUGAAUGCUGCUACAGGAACCUCAUGAUACCAGAGCCCACAGGGUGGAAGGAAUCUGAAUUGCUGAAUUGCCACAUGGGAGAAGAGCUGCCCAAUGACUGUGAAGCGUGUUUUGGAUUAUCAUAAAUAUUUGCAGGAUAUGAAUUUCAAACAAGAGACUGAAAACUUAAUGGCAGUGGAAAAGCAAAUGGGUGUAUUCGAAGAGACAAGUGAAACAAAGGAAUUGUUUUUGAAAAAGGCCUCCAUAAAUGUGGGAUGAGCUAAGAAGUCUCCUGCUGGGGUAUGAAUGCCUGGCUGCUGUCAUUCUGGAUCUGACUGUGCAGGGAAGACUGGUGGUUUCUCCGUUCAGUAAGUCAACAUCCACUUAUUUCUCUGAUUUUCCAAAUGCUCCUUGUGCCUACCACUUCUCAGUUCUCUUUCUGGCCCCAGAAAUUGCAUCUCCAUGCUUCUCUACCCAGCUCUGUGCUUUAGGAAUGUGAACUCUAUGAACUUUAUCAAUCAGGACUGGCUUUAACCAGUGGAAAGAGUGUACUCCUGCAUUAAAGGGCACCGGGUGUUCCUUUCAUACAACCACAGGUCUCCCUGGGUUCCAGGUCAUGGAUCUACCCCCAUACCCUUUCAUCCAUGUUACCUGUAGCCACCUCUCGCUCUUGCUAGCUCUGAGUAUUUCUCCAUCCCAUGGAUGUUGGUUUCCCCUUGUAAAAUUAAACAAAACAGAGAUACAUAGUUAUGUGUAAAAUGGAAAUGCUUUAAAAUAAUGAUAUAAGAACUUGAAAAAUAUAUGAUAACAAGUGUUUGGAGAUGAUUAUUCUCAAAGAAGAAUUUAUUUCUUUACAGGGAAUUCAUCAAAAAAUUAAAUAGU